GAGAGUAUAGCUCAAGUGGCAGAGCAGGUGCUUAGCACGCACGAGGUCCUGGGUUCAAUCCCCAGUAUCUCC
rnacentral:tRNA from 1 species